AAGGAAAUGCUGAGGUUCACGUUUAUUGUCACACGCACCAAUUACGGAACAGUGAUAUUUGAAUUACCAUACAACCAUACAAGUAUAAAGAACACAA